CUUUUUGUAGCAUAUUAUGAUCCUACAUGGAUAAGCAAGCAAGUUAUGUGCUUCUGAGAAUUAUAAACUUCAACAUAUUCCAUUCCUCAUCGCGAUAAAUAAGCAUGUACACUCGUAUAAUGAGUUAAUGACGCUAGUCUCUCUGUCCUUCAAUACUACUUUGAAACUCUCAUUUCAAAGUCAUCCUUGAGAUGCUUCUUUCCUACAGACUUGAUUGUCACAUCGAUCGACAUUUGAGAAAUGUAUCUCAAUAUCCCUCUUUGAUGUUGAGAGAAAGUCACUUGAGAUUGCUUCCACACCUCUCGAACAUUAGAGGAACCAUCAGCAACCUCAGCAACCAGAGAAAAGGUGAAAAUGCCCACGAGAUAAGAUUAAGUAACCGAAAAGGGAAAUGAGGAAAAAUUAGAAGUAACUGAAACAAAAAGUUCAUAUGACAGAACUCAGAAUCAAUUGGAAGCAUGAUUUAG
rnacentral:lncRNA from 1 species